UUCUAGUUGAUUACAUUCACCCAGUAAUUCAUUGCCAACCAGUAUUUGGAUUGAAAUUGCAUUUGUUCUGGUGCAUACCUUGUUGAUUAUAGGAUCUUUUGUCAAUCUGUGUAUGUUUGUGGUCCUUCAAGUUGGCUGAACUUAGAUGCAGAAGGCAUGACGAAUUUGACUAUCAGUACUUUACACAACGACAUUAAUCUCAAGGCUUAGUUUCAAAGGAACAAAGACACAAUUCAAAGUAACAAAUGAGAAAAUAACUCUGCUGCAAAAACAUUUUUGUUUUUCUCUAUAAAAAUUUGACAAGGCCUAGAACUCUCAGGAUUUCUUAGCAUUCUCUACAGAACCAUACAUCUAUCCAAACCUGGUUGAUUUGCCACCUCCGAAAUGCGUCCUGGACUUGAAAACAAAGAUGGCAUUUGGGUCCUUGACAUCAUACAUCCUAGCCAAUUUCUCCUUCAACUCAGCCUUGGAAACAUUAGGCCUUCGAGGAUGCAGAACAUCAAUGACGAAUUGUUUUCUGGAAAGAAGACGAUUGGUCAUGAACUUCCUAGUACGAAUAGUCACCACCUUGUCCGCCAUUUUUCUUGCCUCCGGCGCCGCCACUGCUUCCGCUCUUUCUCCUCUGAAUGGGCGGUUGGUUGGGGAAGCGACAGAAGGGGAACGUAAAAGGCUUUCUUACAAUAAUCAAUGUCCAUGAGGGUCUUGAAUUUUAUAGUAAUAGAUUGAUGCCAAGUUAAUCCCAGAGCAAUCUUGCUGAGUUUUCUUGGCCAUGAUUCCAUGUUCACUCUUUAAAAGAUAGGGAGUGUAAUUGAUCAAAUGGGGGAGCCAACAGCUUCAACGUCUUCAGUGUUAGAGCAAUGGACAAAUGCUGCUAGUCCUUUCAAUGAAUCAGUUGUGGCAUUUUAAUUAGCAUUAUCUUGUGUGAAAAACAGGACUUCUUUUUUCUCUCUCUCUCUCGACUUAAUUAGAACAUUUCUUUAGCUGUUUCACCACUGAGCUGGGUGAGGAAUUGGUAUGGUGCCAUAAUAGCACUGCUUUCUUGAAGUGAUAUCGCUGCUCUGUUUUUCCUCUGUUUCUAGCCGUGUUUCCAACUUCUUUGGAACUCUCCAGUUUUUACAGCUUGUGUUUCUGUCAGCCGUUUCCAUGACUAGUUGCAGAUGUAGCUUCUCUUCUCACAAUCCAAAGCCCCAAAAUCCAAACACCCCUCGCCCCCCACCCCCAAAAAAAAAAAAAACUCCUGCAUGUAUGCAUGCAGCUUGGUAGGUGGACAAGUGCAUGAGCAUGCAUGACAUCUUUCAGCAAUAAUAAUGACUUUCCAUCGUUGUAUCAUCAUUCUUUCAAACAAUUUAUUGGUGAUGUCACCAAUUUGUGCUUCUGUGUGAUGAUGUUAGUACGAAUCUCAAUUAAUAUGAAUGCAUAGAGUCAGUUCUCUGUUAUUUCUAGUAAUACACUAUGACAAAAUGAUUAAUGGAUGUGAUGCAAGUUAUAUGUGAUUUUGGAAAGCAAUAUAUGGGUAGCCAAAUACAUGGGAAGUUUUAGUGCUGAGAAAUGCAGUUGAGGCACAAUGGUUUUAGUAAAAAAUUUCAUUAUGUGGAAAAUCUCUUACAUUAAAUUUUUGUUUUGCAGGUUUAUUUUGGAGAUUUUGGAUGGAAAUAGGCUGUGCAAUCUAGAAGGAGCCACUUGAGCUUGAAUUGUUGUUGUAGUUUGGCUAGUUUUGGAUGUGGUAGAUGAUAAAAUAUUUUUGAAGCUAGGCUUAUUUUUGUUUAAAAGGAGUAAUGGUUAACAUUGCGAAUUUGGAAAUAGGUUGCAAUCUGGAAGGCACCGUGAAAGUGUUUAAAAUGUUUAGGUGGCUUGUUUGGGAUGUAAUAGGUGACAAGACCUUUUGGAAGCUCAAGUUUGUUUUAAACGGUGGUUAUUUUGGAAAGGCACAAUUGCUGUUCAUGUAUUUUUGAAGUAAUGACUUCAACUUUUGGUCAUGCAUAGGUGCUGAAUUAUGAUUAAAUGUCACACGUCCCUUUUUCCA